rnacentral:rRNA from 1 species
CCUACGGGAGGCAGCAGUGAGGAAUAUUGGUCAAUGGACGAGAGUCUGAACCAGCCAAGUAGCGUGAAGGAUGACUGCCCUAUGGGUUGUAAACUUCUUUUAUAUGGGAAUAAAAUGUUCCACGUGUGGGAUUUUGUAUGUACCCUAUGAAUAAGCAUCGGCUAACUCCGUGCCAGCAGCCGCGGUAAUACGGAGGAUCCGAGCGUUAUCCGGAUUUAUUGGGUUUAAAGGGAGCGUAGGUGGAUUUUUAAGUCAGUUGUGAAAGUUUGCGGCUCAACCGUAAAAUUGCAGUUGAAACUGGCAGGCUUGAGUACAGUAGAGGUGGGCGGAAUGCGCGGUGUAGCGGUGAAAUGCUUAGAUAUCGCGAAGAACUCCGAUUGCGAAGGCAGCUCACUGGCUUGAAACUGACACUGAGGCUCGAAAGUGUGGGUAUCGAACAGGAUUAGAUACCCUUGUAGUC